AUGCCAUGGUGAGGGCAUUUUCUUAGCAGCUCUUUAUACAUUUCCCAUGCAUCAGGAACUGCUUCAUCAUCCAGUUGUCUAAAAGUAUAGAUUUCAUUCCAGGACUU